AUUUUCUCGCCUUCUAAGCAUCAAACAUGAGGAAGUACUGUAGGGUUUAAUGUUGCCAAGAGGAGCAAUGAAAACAGAAGGAAGGAAGGAUAUCUCCAUUUAUAACCAGUGUUAAGGAUAGAGUUAUGUCUUUGGACUUGAUUGUUCUCUCUCUCUCUCUCUAUUAUUGCCAUUCGUGCUACUGCUUCUGAAGCCAUUUCACCUCUGUGACAGUUAUCUCCCCCAAGUGGAGUCUAAUGAUGCCAAGUGAUGCUACAAGAUGUAAUCAAAAGAAGGGUGAAUCUUCCCAUUUAUAAUUAGGAUUAAGCAACGGAGUUUUAGCUUCCCACAAGAUUGUCCUCUAUCCUUCUUAUACUUCGUCGUCAUUGUUAAUUUUGCUGUAUUGUCAUCAUGAUGUACGAUCUUCGUUAUUAUCAUCAUGAUGUAUUGUUACCCUUCUUGCU